UCCGAUAUGGUGUAGUGGCUAACAUUAUCGCCUCUCAUGAAGAACGCGAUAGCCCGGGGUUCGAUUCCCCGUGUCGGAA
rnacentral:tRNA from 1 species